rnacentral:misc_RNA from 1 species
GAUGAAGAACGUAGUGAAAUGCGAUAAGUAAUGUGAAUUGCAGAGUUUUGUGAAUCAUCGAAUCUUUGAACGCACAUUGCGCCCCCUGGUAUUCCGGAGGGCAUGUCUGUCCGAGCGUCAUUAGUCCAAUCUCAAGCCCGGCUUGUCGUUGGGUCGCACCGCCCGGGGCGGUGGACCCGAAAUAUAAUGACGGGGUCUAGCGGACCGUGGGCGCAGCGAGCUUUUACAGCACGCGUCCCGGCGUCAUCUAGACGCGUCUCCAACCAUACUCUCUGUAGGUUGACCUCGGAUCAGACAGGAUUACCCGCUGAACUUAAGCAUAUCAAUAAGCGGAGGA